rnacentral:rRNA from 1 species
AGGACGAACGCUGGCGGCGUGCUUAACACAUGCAAGUCGAGCGGAAAGGCCCUUUCGGGGGUACUCGAGCGGCGAACGGGUGAGUAACACGUGAGUAACCUGCCCUUGGCUUUGGGAUAACCCUCGGAAACGGGGGCUAAUACCGAAUAUUCACUGCUCCUCGCAUGGGGGGUGGUGGAAAGAUUUUUUGGCUGGGGAUGGGCUCGCGGCCUAUCAGCUUGUUGGUGGGGUGAUGGCCUACCAAGGCGACGACGGGUAGCC